GACGUAGGGCGCGAGCGUUGUCCGGAUUUAUUGGGCGUAAAGAGCUCGUAGGCGGCUUGUCGCGUCGUCCGUGAAAACCCACGGCUCAACUGUGGGCUUGCGGUCGAUACGGGCAGGCUGGAGUUCGGUGAGGGGAGACGUGGAAUUCCUGGUGUAGCGGUGAAAUGCGUAGAUAUCUGGAGGAACACCGGUGGCGAAGGCGGCAUCCUGGACCGAUACUGACGCUGAGGAGCGAAAGCCAGGGGAGCAAACGGG
rnacentral:rRNA from 1 species